AUAACAAUAAUAGUGUUGGGCAAGUGAUUAGUAGGGGGAGUUUUUAUUAGAAUGUGGGUUAAUUAUUAAGAACACAAAUGCAAUUUAAAAAAUAAAUAAAUGUAUUAUUUAAGCCAGAUGGUAGACACACUUUUAUUACUCAAGGAUCCAUACAACUUGAAUGUUUGUACAUGCACUGCACAAUCAGGUCACACAGGUUUCUUUUAGCAAUUGCAGAAACAAUUCUUUAAAAAAAUGAUCUAAAAAUAGCAGCUGUGACUUGCCCAACAGUUGGAUUUAUUGUAAUGGAAAUCCACCAGCACCGUUUGUUUGCAUGUGUGAUGACAGGUGGGCUCUGAUGGGCUAUCACAGGCUCAGUGGCUGAAAUCUCAUGAGACCACAGGAGUUUGAGAGGAAAAUCAUUUUUCCUGCUUUUUGUAUCAGUGAUGCACACAAUAUGUACAUUUUUAUAACUGUUAAAAGGUGUAUGCAGUAAGUUCCACGUACAGUUUCCGAUAUGCCAACAACACCAUUGC